rnacentral:rRNA from 1 species
GACGAUCGCUGGCGGCGUGCCUAAUACAUGCAAGUAGAACGCAGUUGCGAACGGGUUAGUAACUCGUAGGUAACUGCCUGGUAGCGGGGGCUAACUAUUGGAAACGAUAGCUAAUACCGCAUCCUACCAGAUGGACCUGCGUUGUAUUAUCUAGUUGGUGAGGUACCGGCUCACCAAAGCAACGAUACAUAGCCGACCGUAGAGGGGCGUUGGCCACACUGGUAGUGGGUGAAGGGCCAGACUCCUUCGGGAAGGAGCAGUAGGGGAUCUUUGGCAAUGGGGGGAACCCUGACCGAGCCACGCAGCGUGAGGGAAGAAGGGUUUCGGAUCGUAAAGCUCUGUUAUUAAGGAAGCGGUACUUAACCAGAAAGGGACGGGUAACUACGUGCCAGCAGCCGCGGUAAUAC